rnacentral:rRNA from 1 species
AAUGGGUCAGCGACUUAUAUUCUGUAGCAAGGUUAACCGAAUAGGGGAGCCGAAGGGAAACCGAGUCUUAACUGGGCGUUAAGUUGCAGGGUAUAGACCCGAAACCCGGUGAUCUAGCCAUGGGCAGGUUGAAGGUUGGGUAACACUAACUGGAGGACCGAACCGACUAAUGUUGAAAAAUUAGCGGAUGACUUGUGGCUGGGGGUGAAAGGCCAAUCAAACCGGGAGAUAGCUGGUUCUCCCCGAAAGCUAUUUAGGUAGCGCCUCGUGAAUUCAUCUCCGGGGGUAGAGCACUGUUUCGGCAAGGGGGUCAUCCCGACUUACCAACCCGAUGCAAACUGCGAAUACCGGAGAAUGUUAUCACGGGAGACACACGGCGGGUGCUAACGUCCGUCGUGAAGAGGGAAACAACCCAGACCGCCAGCUAAGGUCCCAAAGUCAUGGUUAAGUGGGAAACGAUGUGGGAAGGCCCAGACAGCCAGGAUGUUGGCUUAGAAGCAGCCAUCAUUUAAAGAAAGCGUAAUAGCUCACUGGUCGAGUCGGCCUGCGCGGAAGAUGUAACGGGGCUAAACCAUGCACCGAAGCUGCGGCAGCGACGCUUAUGCGUUGUUGGGUAGGGGAGCGUUCUGUAAGCCUGUGAAGGUGUGCUGUGAGGCAUGCUGGAGGUAUCAGAAGUGCGAAUGCUGACAUAAGUAACGAUAAAGCGGGUGAAAAGCCCGCUCGCCGGAAGACCAAGGGUUCCUGUCCAACGUUAAUCGGGGCAGGGUGAGUCGACCCCUAAGGCGAGGCCGAAAGGCGUAGUCGAUGGGAAACAGGUUAAUAUUCCUGUACUUGGUGUUACUGCGAAGGGGGGACGGAGAAGGCUAUGUUGGCCGGGCGACGGUUGUCCCGGUUUAAGCGUGUAGGCUGGUUUUCCAGGCAAAUCCGGAAAAUCAAGGCUGAGGCGUGAUGACGAGGCACUACGGUGCUGAAGCAACAAAUGCCCUGCUUCCAGGAAAAGCCUCUAAGCAUCAGGUAACAUCAAAUCGUACCCCAAACCGACACAGGUGGUCAGGUAGAGAAUACCAAGGCGCUUGAGAGAACUCGGGUGAAGGAACUAGGCAAAAUGGUGCCGUAACUUCGGGAGAAGGCACGCUGAUAUGUAGGUGAAGUCCCUUGCGGAUGGAGCUGAAAUCAGUCGAAGAUACCAGCUGGCUGCAACUGUUUAUUAAAAACACAGCACUGUGCAAACACGAAAGUGGACGUAUACGGUGUGACGCCUGCCCGGUGCCGGAAGGUUAAUUGAUGGGGUCAGCGCAAGCGAAGCUCUUGAUCGAAGCCCCGGUAAACGGCGGCCGUAACUAUAACGGUCCUAAGGUAGCGAAAUUCCUUGUCGGGUAAGUUCCGACCUGCACGAAUGGCGUAAUGAUGGCCAGGCUGUCUCCACCCGAGACUCAGUGAAAUUGAACUCGCUGUGAAGAUGCAGUGUACCCGCGGCAAGACGGAAAGACCCCGUGAACCUUUACUAUAGCUUGACACUGAACAUUGAGCCUUGAUGUGUAGGAUAGGUGGGAGGCUUUGAAGUGUGGACGCCAGUCUGCAUGGAGCCGACCUUGAAAUACCACCCUU